rnacentral:rRNA from 1 species
UACGUAGGGGGGCAAGCGUUGUCCGGAAUCAUUGGGCGUAAAGCGCGUGUAGGCGGCUUGGUAAGUCUGCUCUGAAAGCCCGGGGCUCAACCCCGGGAGGCGGGUGGAUACUGUCAAGCUCGAGUCCGGAAGAGGAGUGUGGAAUUCCCAGUGUAGCGGUGAACUGCGUAGAUAUUGGGAGGAACACCAGUGGCGAAGGCGGCUCACUGGACCGGUACUGACGCUGAGGCGCGAAAGCGUGGGGAGCAAACGGG